AGCGCGAUGGUGAAAAAGCUAACACGACGGUCUGCAAAACCGUUAUUGCUGGUUCAAGUCCAGCUCGCGCCUCCA
rnacentral:tRNA from 1 species